GACGAACGCUGGCGGCGUGCUUAACACAUGCAAGUCGAACGGUGAGGCCUGGUUUUUGUGCUGUGCGCGUGUGGCGCACAGGUGUGAGACAUGUGUGUGUCCUCCGCUUUUGUUUGUGAUAUCUUCCUGAGACUGUGGCUAAUAUCCUAGAUACGCCACGGCUGCGUGUUGGGGUUUGUAGAGUUUGGGCGGUUGGGGAUGGACUCGCGGCUUAUCAGCUUGUUGGUGGGGUAGUGGCUUACCAAGGCGUUGACGGGUAGCCGGCCUGAGAGGGUGACCGGCCACACUGGGACUGAGAUACGGCCCAGACUCCUACGGGAGGCAGCAGUGGGGAAUAUUGCACAAUGGGCGGAAGCCUGAUGCAGCAACGCCGCGUGAGGGAUGACGGCCUUCGGGUUGUAAACCGCUUUCGCCAGGGAAGAAGCGAGAGUGACGGUACGGGGUGAAGAAGCACCGGCUAACUACGUG
rnacentral:rRNA from 1 species